rnacentral:rRNA from 1 species
UACGGAGGGUGCAAGCGUUGCUCGGAAUUAUUGGGCGUAAAGGGUAGGUAGGUGGUCUUAUUUGUCUGGGGUGAAAGCCUUGAGCUUAACUCAAGAAGUGCCCUAGAAACGGUAAGACUAGAGUCCUAGAGAGGGUCGUGGAAUUCUCGGUGUAGCGGUGAAAUGCGUAGAUAUCGAGAGGAACACCUGCGGCGAAGGCGGGUUGCUGGGCUGACACUGACGCUGAGGCGCGAAAGCUAGGGGAGCGAACGGG